AAUGUAUGAAGCCAUUGAUUUUUUUUCAACGUUUGACCAUUUGUCUUAUUCAAAAAUUUUAUGUAAUUAUCAUUUAUUUUAUUGUGACUUGAUUCGUCAUCAAAUGUUUUUUAAGUAUGACAUAAAUAUUUUUAUAUUUGCAUAAAAUUUUUGAAUAAAACGAAUGGUCAAACGUUGAUUGAAAAGUCAACGAUGUCAUACAU
rfam:Oryza sativa Japonica Group DNA, chromosome 2, cultivar: Nipponbare, complete sequence.